AACAAGGUUCUAGGGAUGGUUGCUGAAGGCCAUGCCACUCGGUGUGGAACCUUGGAAGGAAUACAUUUUGUUUGGAGAUGAAACAUCACUUUCUUUCCAACCAGACAUUCCCACAACCAAUACAUCCUGCUAUUAAUGAACAAUUACAAUUGGGAGGACCUGGGAGCACUUCCUAGCGGUGAGACCCUGGCUCCCUCUGAAGAAUCUGUGCUUCCUGCCUAUCGCGCCAGUAAAUGCCAUGCUGAGAACAGGCAGUUUUUGAAAGAGAAAAUUGAAAAUAACCCUCACAAAGAAUGUUCCAGAUCUCUAAUAAUAAGGAAAAUGUAAAUUAAGCAACUCUUAUGCUUUAUCUUCAUUAAUAAUUUUUUAAAAUCGUCACCUUCCAUCUUAGAGUCAAUUCUGUGUAUUGGUUCCAUGGCAGAAGAACAGUGAAGGCUCAGCGAUAGGGGUUAAAUGCCUUGGCCAGGGUCACACGGCUAGGAAGUGUCUCAGGUGAGAUUUGAACCCAGGACUUCCUGUCUCCAGGCCUGGUGUUCUAUCUACUAAGCUGCCCCCUAGCCUUCACGGAUAAUAAUAGCUACCACUAUUUACAUAGCACUUUGAGGUCUACAAAAUGCU
rnacentral:lncRNA from 1 species